AACGUUAUGGAAUUAAUUGACAUAGUAUUGGGUAACCAAUAUAUAUAUUUUUAAUUGCUAAUGAAGAGGCUUCUCACACCUCGCCCUAAGCAGUUGGCAUCUCCUGCAGCCAGCAGAUGCAGGAGCCUCUCUGAUGGAGAUGCCUUUCUGCAUGAUUAUGCCAUCCUUGCUUCGUGGCAUCUCACUUUCUCUAGAAUUUUCACUGCAGACUUCCCUCCAACCAUCACCUGGGAGUGCAUUUCCUCCUCUUUUCCUCUGUUGUCUUCUUUGAUCAAAAUCAGCACAUCUUUUCUCUGUUCACCCACUCUAGAUUUUGUUGAUCUUUUGACAGUUUUUUUAUUAUUAUUUGAAGAAGUAUUUACUUAUUUGUUCAGAAGACACACAGAGAGAGAGGGAGCGAGAUCUCCCUUGUGUUGGUUCACUCCCCACAUGGCCACUACAGCCAGGAUUGUGUCAGGCCGAAGCUGAGAGCUAUAAACCCAGUGUAGGGCUUCCCACUUGGGCCAUCCCCUUCUGUAUAGCAGGGAGCAGAGACAGGACUUAACCCCAAGCUUCCCAGGCAAUUAUAAUCAGAUGUCAACCCCAUUUCCAUGUUCUGCUAAAUAUAUGUAUUACAAUAUGUCUCCCAUUCUGAGGCUUGCCUCUGUGAUAAACUACUUGGUGGCCACCCUGCAGUAACAUACAUAUGUGCAUAUAUGAGGAUGUUUUAAAAAUCUUAUGGAAAAUGGAAUUAAGUCUAAUUUGGUGUAAAGUUUUUCCAAGUCCACACACAAUGUUUUCAUAGUAUGCCUUUUCUGUCAAGUUUUUGAAGACCCAUUGUAUGCAUUUGUAUUUUUGGAGAGAUAAAGAGAAGUAUUGUAACAAAUUGGCUCAUGACAUUAUGGAGGCUGAGAAGUCCCAUGAUCUGCUAUUUGUAAUGUGAGAACUAAUUCUGGCCUGAAAUGGAAGUUCUAUGUACCAAGAUAGCCCAAGUGCUAUCUUGUGGAAAUCUUUAUAAAGUCCAAAUGUUUAAAUCAGUAGAGCUGAUGGUGCGAGUUCAUUCUAAAAACACAAGAUGAAUAGGCUAGCUGAAGCACUCAGGCACAGUGUGCAAAUCCCCACCUUCUCUGUUUGGGCCUUCCUUGACUGAAGCCUGUCCAUAUCAGGAAGGGCCAACUGCUUUACUCAUUCUACUGGUUCACAUGUUAGCUUCAUCCAAAAUACUCCCAGAGACACACCCAAUGCUGGCCACUUACUGCCCUUGUCACAUUGGCACACAAAAGUAACCAUCACAUGAGAGCAAGACUGGGUAGACUCCUGCAGUUGAGUUUCCAUUUAAUUCAGUCUCUGCACAAUAUACACUACUCUAGUUUCUCAGCCUUCAAACUCAACAAGACUCUUGGCAAGUAUACCCUGGUGCUCUGAGGUCAUGAUUUUCUCAGCUGUGAUAAAAUCUGACUAAGUUUAGGUGAGGCAACACUCACUUGAGUUGGUUCUGUGGAUACUAACAUAACAUGAUUGCAGUUUUAGGGAAGCCUCAAGUCACACUGAUGUUACAAGCAGUUCAAGGACCAGCAGGUGAUGGAACAGAUGCCAAAUGGAGUUCUGGAGAACCUUAGCACCCAAUUUAUUGGACAAAAGUGUCCAGCUGUUGUUCCUCUCUUUUAUUCCUUCCAAAACUCCAUGAAAGUAAAAAAUAACUGUGGGGAAUAAACUGUCUUCUAAAUUUCUUGUUAUGGAUGUGAUAGAUAUUUGAGAAAAUACUUGGUGGCAAUGUGAUCAUUUUGGGUAAAGUAGCUUGAUAUAUUUUGACUUAUCACUACAACUCCUUCUAAAACAAUAACUGAUAUUGUACCAAUAUGGGCCCAAAAACGCAUGUGUGUUUUGUACUUUAUAAAGCAUUUUAAUUUAAAAAUUCAAAGUUAGUUUGUCCUGUAUGUUAUGGCAGUAUAUUUUCGAGCUUUUUAUGAGAUUUUCAAGUCUUUCAGAUCACCUUUUCUUCUAGUGUGUUGUUGAGUCACAACGGAAUGGGAAGAGUGGGUGUGCUGGUUGUGAAGCUCCAGACAUAUCUCCUGAACUCUGCUGCCAUGAGCUCUGCAAACCACCUCCCUCCUUUUCUGCUGCAAUCUUGUUUGGAAUUUACCAGCAACAGUAGACAUGCAGGACUGGAACCUGAAAGGGAAGGAAGGUGGAAGGGAGAGGUAUAUUCCUUUUGAUUGCUUCCUUUUCCUGAUAACCCUGGCAAAGCAGCAUGUCUCCAGCCAGUCAUUCCUAAAAGGCUGGUUGAUUUGUCUGCAGCAUUUCCAGUCAUCUUGCCAGUCUGAAAUCACAGCAAUAUCAACUGGUGUUCUGUCUUCAGAGUUGAGUCCCAGCUCUGCAAGAUCCCUUCUACUUCCCAAGGUACCAGGACUAGUUGCCUGCAUUCACUUCUUGGAGGUCUGAUGCUAGUUCCAGAAGAUGCAUCAUUCAAGUUUCUGAAUUUUAAUCAUCCUAGACCCUUGCCUUUGCUGCCCAGCCGUAAGUGUGGUGUCUGCUUCCCAAAGUCUUGGUGGGACCGAAUGCUCCAUUUUGCCUUUUACUUCAUUGUCUGAUUAAUAUUCAUAUUAUCAGAUUAUCUCUGGUAAACUAGUUGGUCUGGUCAAACAAGAAACCAGAUUCUCAGCUUCUAAGAAGGGAGGCAUGAGUGUUUGUCCUCUCCAGAAAUCCCAAACUCAGAUGGGUUUGCCACUAGUUCUCACUGACACAACAAUUCUCUCCCUAGAUUAUGUGAUUUGCCACCAGUUGGGAUAAAUGUAAGGUUGCAGGAAACAAUUGUAUUGCCCAUUUUGUGGUCAGAAAGCCCUACCAUCCUUUCCCUCCCUCCUUUAUUCCUGCUCUGCUGUUUUCCUCAUUCUCCUUGUGACACUUUGUCCAGUCAUUCCCAUGUUCUUCUAUUUUCUCAACACCUCUACUUCCCUUUUCUCUGGUCAGUCUAGAUCUCAUCACCAUCUCAAUUAGUCACUGGUACCUUCUACUAACCUACACCAUUGUCCUUCUGCCCAUGAGCAGAACCCAGGUUAAGACACUCUGACAUUUACUUCUUGCCAUGUCCUGGCUAAUAAGUGCCAUUGGGAGGAACCCACAGUUAAGAGUCCAGUCUCCCAGGGGCCCUCAAGCUGUGUUACUCUCCUCUGUCCUGACCCUAUGCUGUUGCCUCUUUCCCAUCUCACUUAGAGGGUGGCAUCACCAGAUGGAAGAUGGAGGCAAUUGUAAGGUUUAUUUCUACCUCCAGGAUCUUUGCUUGCCUGGCUGAGAAAAAAUGUGUUUCUUCCUACCAUAGAUAAAAUUUUCAGUUACCCCUGCUUUCUUACUAUCUUCUGAUAUAUUAAACAAUUUGUUUUUAUUUUCACCUAGUGUAACAUGAAUCACAGAGGGUAGGGAAUUCAUGUCCGUCUUGUUUGCUGCAGGCACAAAGUGUGAGAGAAGGCAAGCAAUCAUGAUGGCCCCAAGAUUGCCCACACAUUAAGAGGUUGGAGUUACCAGCACUGAGCAGAGGAAGGCAUAAAUGGAGCCAAUGUGGAGGGUAAGGCCAAGAGUGCAGUUCUGGACAUGUUAGCAUUAUGCAUCCUGGUGCUGAGGUUGUGUAGGCAGUAGGAUGAAUGAAUUUUAAGAAGUCAGGCUAGAGGAAUGAAAAUAGGUGCCAUUGGCAUAUAGAACCAUGAGACAUGAUGGGAACUACAAAAAGAGUACUCAUCAAGAGUGAAGCAAGUCCACCCAGGUGGAGAAAUCAGGAAGAUGAAACAGAACUACCAAGGAGAAUCCGGAACUGUGAUGGGAGGGAAAGCAGCAGAAUGUGAAGAAAGUGUUCAAUGAAGCAAGGAGGAGCCAUGGUGUCCAGUGUUGCUGGAGCUAUGGCAUGGACAAAGGCAGCACACCUGGGAUCACGCACUCAUGGCAGAAGGACACGACAUUCCCUUACGAUACCUCUAUUCAUCAGUACUUUGGUGAGUUGGAGACCCAGACCCAUCCAUGAUGGGUGAGUUUGCUGUUGCUUCUCUGAACAAAGGAAAGCAGAAGGAGGAAGAGAAGAGAAGUCAGGUUACAGAGAGAAACUGACACAGACAUGCUCAGUAACUUAGUCAUGCACUGGAGAGACCCACUGAUUAAUUACACACCCAAGCAUUAGUGACAAAUAAUUCUAGUCAUGCAGAACUUCCAGCCCACAUAACUGAGCCAGAAAAUCUUAUUAGUUUCAUGGGAGGGCAGGCUCUGGCCCUUGUUGUCCACUGUCUCUCAUUUUCUUAUAGAGAACAGUCAUUGUUAAGCUUCUCAUUGGGAGGAGUUAAGUUAGCCAUCAGAAGUGUGGAUACACAGGAGGAUGUCAUGUUUUUUAUGAGUUAAUCUGAGUCUAGCAUUUGGACACUAGGUCUUGCACAGGCUACCUGCCCACAUGGACUUGAAUGUGGAUGGUAUGCCAGGGAGUGUUGUUAAUGGUUUGUUAAAAGGACGGAGAGGCAGGAGUGGACACAAGGACACUAAAGUUGUAGGAAUAACAAGCAGUGCAUGGAAGGUUCUGGAACUGUCAAACCUGAGAGUGCAUCACAAUUACCCUCCUGGAGGACGUGCUAAAAACAAGCACAACUUGCUGGGUUUGUCUUAAGUAGGCCCCAGAUGAGCCCAAGGAUGCAUUUCUGACAAGGUCCCAAGUGACAUUCAGACUACUGGUCUGGAGACCAUGCUUUCAAACCAGGAGCAGGGUUUAGGGUCCCCAAGAGCAGAACUGAAAUCUCCAGCUCCUUCCAGCUAUGUGACUUGGGGACAAACAUACAUGUUGGAGCUGCAUUAAAACUGCACGGUUGCAGUGAGGAGUAUCUUAGUGUGCUUAUGUUAGAAGCAGCUCCUAGUUUUUGUGUACAUGGCAAAUACCUCCUAGUUUCCAUAAAAUUAUUAAGGUGGUGGAAAUCCUAGGUGAAAACCACCACAGGUCAACUUGGAGGAGCAUAAUAUCAACGAGAUGUGGGGGCCCUGAUUGCAGGUGGGGGAACCAGUUCUGGAACUGUGGCUUUCAUCUUACAGACAGCUGUGACACUGUUCCAGACAUUUCUAGUAAGCCAGACACUCUGGAGCUGGAAAGGGGUGGGGCACUUAACUCCUUUAGCCAGGAGGUGCUGACAGGAGAGACAGAAGAGGCAGGUGUUACAGAGCGAGGCAGAUCUGCCAGACCUUGAGCAGCUCAGGGCACCCUGAGCAGCUGUGAGAUGACCAAGCUUCAGUUGCAUUUAAAGUAUAAAAUGAGCUGACUUUGGGUUUCAUUUAUUUUGCUGCAGACAGCUUCUGUGUAAAGAUCUCCAAGUAUCUGAUCCCCUUUCUCUGUUACUAAAGAAUAAGUAUAUGGCCAGGACAAACACAUUUUGUGUUAAAUUCAUUGUGAGUAGUUGGCCCUCUUUCUUGUCUAUGACAUUUUUGCCUGGUAUUUUGAGUCAGCAUUAACCCAAAUUAAAUGCUGUCUGGAACUGUAACC